AUGAUAGCAUACAUAAAAGAGGUACUUAUAUAAACACACACAUUUGUUGGCAUUCCUUUGUCUCAAGAGACAAUGGAGUGCACCUCUGGGGGUGAAGUCAAACAGCUGCAUGAGCAGCACUCAAGUGACCUCCCCAAGCCCAAGCCUGGGCAAUGUGUAUGAAGCUCCUGGGCUGUCCAGACAACCAGACCUGCCUCUCGGCCUUGCUGAUGUGGUCCAAAAGAAAGCAGAGCAAUGUGUUUGGCACCAGCUUGGCUGCAGGAGUUGCUGGAAGGAAGCAUACAAGGCACCACCCAACCAUCUUAGGGACUCCACUCUGGAUUUGUGUAGGGUUUACUACUUGGCCUUUUCUUCUUCCAGCAAGGCAGUGGAGGUUUAGGAUCUGAGUUUUCCUUCUCCUAGAUGGGCUACCUUCCUAGAUUGACAAGCCCCAUCUGCCCCUCUCAUCCCUCUACAACACAUGCAGAAACUGCCUUCUCGAUGGUUGGAUCUACUAUUGGUCUUUUCUGAUCAGUCUGCCAGAGCCUGUCUUCACAUGCAAGGGAAGUCUGUGCCCCCCACCAGAGGUACUACCCCUCCCCUAACACCCCAUGCACAACACACACACACACACACACAGAGGGAGGGUUAAAAACAACAACAGCACAUACAUUCAAUCAUUUCAAAUUCAAUUCAUACUCCAACUGGAUAUCUGUAAAUGAAACUUACCUUCCUCCCCCCAUUCCUGCAGUCUCUGCACCUCUACCUGUCUGUAUUUAAUUUUUAUUUAAUUCAGCAUUAGCAUUAAUCUAGAUGAUUAAUCUAAUCUCACCUGAAAGGAAUUGUGCUGUUGUUAAGAUGCGUCAAGAUGGGUCUUUUAAAAACAGCACUUCAUCCUUGCAACUGAUUUAGAAAAAGUCAUUAUGUUAAAGAACUGAAGCUGAGAGAGAACGCGUUGCCUGUGGUCACCCACUACCAGAUCUCUCUCUAGCCAUUGGACUUGCCACCAUCCACAUUCUUCAUUAAAUAUGUCUCCUUAUCUCUUGUAGUCAGGAAAUAAAAUAAAAUGAGGCAAAGAGGUAAAACAUUAGUAGGAAGUGUGAAUCAGCUCUUUAAAGUAUAUAUGAUUAAUGCAAUUAGUUUUCUCACUCACUCUCUCUCUCUCUCUCACACACACACACACCCUUUGCCAACUGGAAUUAAUUGGUUUCUUGGGGAUAUCUAGAAAUCCCUGUUUUGUAUUUCAGAUGUGCAAGGUAAGAGGUUGUAUUUAUGGGAAGAAUACCUCAUAAACAUGCUGAUAUUAUUACAUGGUAGAGUUUGAACUGUGUGCACUACUUUUUAACAUCAUGUUCGCUGCGGAAACAUGUUCCAGGGAGCAGAGCUCAGUUGCAGCUGCAUGCCACAUGUUGGUGUUGUAUACAUGAAUACAUGAAAGUCGAUGCGCCUGUCCUUCAAAUGCUACAGUUUAAGCAGGUUAUCAGCAUGUGCCCAUUGAAAUCAGCAUAUAUGAAAUGCUCCUGCCUGUUGAUGUAGCUCUGUUUUGAAAGAGAUGCUAAUACUUUCAUUUGUAUCUUCCUGCAUACUAAUUUUGCUUCCAAUAAAGCACUUUCAUCUGGAAAUAUAUCCCUUGACAGAUGGUAGAUUCUGUUUGUUACUAGCAGGGGUAAUAUGACUCAACUGUUUUUGCAUGCAUUUCUCUUAAUGCAAAUAAUAAAGUCCCAGUAUUCUGUGUGAGGCAUUGGUGGAGGGGUGGGCAUAUGUUUUAGCUGUGUUCUUUUGAAAUUAGAAUAGCCAUAAAAUUAUAGAGCUGUACGGAAUCUUGAGGACCAUCUAGUCCAGCCUUCCACAGCUUUGGGUCCUCAGGUAUUGCUGUUCUCUGCCUGUGUGACCAGUGACCAAGGAUGAUGGGGCUUCUUGUUCAACUUGAUAUGGGACCCUAGAGCUGGAGAAGGCUGAUCUCAUGAAGCGGUUUGCUCAUUACAGGAUCAACAAUGCAGGGUAAAACUGCAGCACUCCUGGAGUAUGGCUAUCUAGCUUCUUGGUUAAGUAUCUCCAUUGAAGGAGAGCCCAGCAUCUGGGCUGGCUCACUUAUCAGGACCAUGUCAGUUUCCAGAGAGGGAUUUGCAACAAAUUUGCUCCUCGGCCCUUUCUGAUCAUGCUGAGCUAAUCCAGCUAUGUAAUGGUUUGAGUCAUUUCCCGCUAAAGAGACCUUGAACGUGGUGACUGUGUCAGCUUCUUAGGGGAGGGACCAGAACCUUAUGAGAAGCUGCAGUUUCUAGCUCAGUUGGUUGUGUGUGGGGUCCACCACAUUGCACUUGUAUCUUUGCUUAGAGCAGAUGGUGGUGGUUUUCCCCCUGCUUCAAGAGGAAGCUGGGGAAAUAGGCAUGAAUUGACAUUUGUGCUUAUAGCAUCUUCUGUGCUGUAGUUGUUAAAAAGUAGAUGCACCAUCCAGUUCCAGAUCUGGUAACCUUACCUGCGGGUGCACUGACCACCAAGACCACCUGCCAUGUGGCAGACAGAGUGGCAGGCUUAGCCCACAUCUCAUUUUAUCAUUAUUAUUUUAAUCAGCAGAGCAAUACAUCCUGUCUUAAGAGUUCAUAAAAAUAAGUGGCCAGCUCUAAGCAUUAAAAAACACAAACAAACCAUGGGGUAGGAAGUUUCCUUUGUAUAAAAUUUAUAUUAGUCUCCAUUUUUUUGUUUCCCCCCAAUCCCCUUCAAUCUCCUUCCUCUCCUGAAACAAAUCCUUGUGAUUUAAUACAUUUUAUGCUUCCUCUCUCAGAUGCAUUUCUCAGUAACUUAUUCCACAUGUUUAUUGGUAAGAUAUUUUAUCUCGGGAACUUCUCUGCUUAGGCUUCUAGCAAAUCAGUAGGAAGGAGGAGAUGUAUUUUGAUGAAUGCAAUGAUUUCAAAAGCCUCCUGUUUGAACAAAGAAAAAAGUGGAUAGGUAAUGAAUUCCCCCACCCAUUCCAAAAAAUAUGCUAAAUUGUGCAUUUUCAUUUUUUAAAAAAUAAUAAACUAAAGCAUAUUUCAUUUUCUGACAAAAGGUAAAGAAUUAAGCACCAAAUUGUCAGGGGGCUGUCAGGGGAACAGGUUCAUCAACAGGUCAGAAGGGAGACUCAGAGACUUGAAGUAAAGUCAGCUGUUUUAUUCAGGAAAUUAGUAUACAACAGAGAUCACUCAGGCACUACUGCCUCUGUGAAGGCAUUGCCAAGACUGGCUCUGGGCACCUCCUCUUCCUCCUAACUCUCCUCUUCCGGAUGUCUUCCAAACAGAUGCUAACGCAAGCAGGGAGAGGGGACCCCCCCCUUGGGUUUUUCUAGCUUUGUGUUCAGCUAUGUGUAAAGCUCUGAACAAUCUUGGAGUGAAAGGGGGAGGGGAGCUCCAUGCAGAGGGUCCGGGUAGCUGCUGUGAAGCUGCUGCAGUGUCUGACACCUCCCUGUCCUCUCCUUCAGAUCCUGAGCUCAGAGUGUGUUCCUCUGCAUCCAGUCCUGUCCUUGGAGGGCUCUCUGCCUCUGACUCUUCUUGCUCACUUAAGCCUCCUGGGUCUUCCACCUCCCAGCUCCCUCCCUCCUCUGUUCCAUCUUCUGUGUUUCACCACCACUCCCCUGGGUCUGAGCCUUCUUCCCCUGUUGCUUCCCUCGGGGGUUCCUCGGCUGGAGACUUCCUCCACUUUUCGUUAUCCAGCCAGUCCCUGACAUAGAAGCAGCAUUCAGCAUCUUGAGAAUCUCAACUUUCAUAUUUCAGAAAAGGUACUUCUAGUCCUUAUUGUCAUGAGAACAGGCUUAAAAGUAGGGAUGUACUCUCCCAUGUGUUCACCUAUAAUAAGUCUGACUGCCCCAUUUUCCAUCAUUGAGAGGUAUAGACCAGGUAAAUGUGUAGAGAUCAGUCUUCCAGCAUCCUUACUUGAAAGUACAUGGGCUGUGCAUGGUAAAACCUAAAAAGGCAAAGCCUUGGAUCUUUCUUCUGAUCAUGGAGUUCAGACUCCACGUCCUACAGAUCCCCACUGACUAACAGAAGCAGAAUUAUCCAUUUGCAGAAGGCUAAAAUUCCAUGCAUGUAAGGUUUAUUGAAUACGAUGGAAUUUACUUCUUAGGAAGCGCACAUAGAAUUGCAAUGUAAUUUGCUUAAUUUACACUGGUUCCAGAAUUUGGGCUUUGGGGGUGCAGAAGUUGGCUAACAUAGAAUUUGUAUUUUGCUGACUGUUGAUAGCCUCAUAUGGAAAGUGAGUGGUGACAUAUUUUUAAAGGCACUGCUUGACAUGCUGAUCUAAAAGCCCUGUCUGUUCAUUCAGAAUCAUUAAAGGAAUGCCAAGUUCACCCCAAUAGCAGCAGGCUCAGACCCUAACCUAUGUGCAGUUGCUGAAAACUCAGCAGAGUCCCCAUGCUUAUUUGCCACUCUGGUGCAAUGCCACCCCAUCCCACAAAUAUUCAUGGAAUUGAGUGACUGGAUAGGGCUAAAGCCUGUGUGUUUCCUGGAAGAGUAAAUAAGAAAAAGUAAGAUAGAACCAAGGGAGACAUGACAAUGGCAGACAUGCCUCUUUAAUUGCAGGCCUACCACAGUCACCUAUAAAAUGGGUAGAGGAUGCUGAGCUCUCCCCCUCUAUGGCUUUCUUCCCUGUAGUUGGAUUCAGCUGGAUUCAGUACUGGAUUCAGUACUGAAUAUGGUACUGGAGCCCAGUUGCUGUUGGUGGUGGGUCCUCUCAGAUUGCGGGGGAGAACUGAUCAAUCCUCUCUUCCUGCUAUUAAAACAGGGGCCUUCCCCAGCUGUAUUCAUGACCAGGGGCAGAUUCUGAUUUAUAAAGGUCAUAGUCACCAUCACGUUGAGUUUGGCCCUUACUGAGUUUUGGAGAUGACCGUGGAUUUCAAACAGAGCAGCUGUACCUCCUUGCCAGGUUACCAGGCCAACAAGGCAUUUGUUUUAUUCAGGACAUAAAUGUGGAGAUAAAUGUCUGUUACAGACAAAUAAUUGAUUUGGCCGGCAGCUUAGGCCAGUCUGUCUGCCUCUUCCUGCUGCCUGUUUCUUUUUCCAGUAAAAAAUACAUGGUCUUCUGCAUUGUUUAUAGCCUUUCCUUGUUUUAAUAGAACUUGUCAGACCAGUUAAUGUUCUUCCUUCUAGGGAACAAAGGAGACAGAAAUAGAAAUGAAACCAAACCCUGCUCCUAGCAUGGAAAGCGGAAUGCAGUUGUAUUUUCUUCAUUGGCAACUUUUUUCAAAAAAAGAGAAAAGAGUGUGUUUCUAACUCACAUAGAGAGAAUUUAAAAUCAAGGGUUUGUGAUUCUUACUUCUUAAAGCUGUAUCCUUUUUGGAGCGAUCCUGUUUUCACACUACACUAUGUGUGUGCUGAUUGUAGAGGGGCAAAGCCUCUUAUGAUGGUGUGACAACCAUCAUAUCUAUGUAUGUUAAGCCUGGGAAGAACAGAAAACACACACUAGAAAAUCCAAAAUCCAAGACUAGCUUUAAAACUGCAGCUUUCGUCUCCUCCUAUAACAGGAGACCUACUCUAUAGGGCUGUUGUAAGGAUUAUUACUAUAGUGUAUGUGAAGACUUGAGACAGGCUAUAAAUGUGUGAUUUUAACUUUGUUAUAUUUAGCAUUCAAUAAGGACAUGUUUUUUUAAUUUGUGACAAAUUGUUCGUAUAUUAGAAAGCAAACUUCUUUUAGGAGUAAGCAGAAAAGGCAAGGGUAAACAGACCCUCUCCAAAAGCUUUCUUGUAAUGUGUAUGAGAUACAAAUCCAUAUGGAUUACAGACAGGCUCUGUUUUAUUCAGCGUCUGAGUCCAGCUAUUGAGAGUAUCAGUCUCUGCUGGUGAUUGGUCUGCUUUAACAGAGGAUGGUAUAGUAAUAUUGCUUUGAAGCACAGUGCUGCACCAGAUGGCAUGCUGAAUUAACUGUGUGCGCCUCUCCCUCCUUUCAUUAUACUAUAAACUAAAACUGCCUUUUCAUUGUUCUGUAAGCUGACUCAGCCCUUAAUGCGAAUCCCUGAUUGCUAGUUAGUGCCUUUCUGCGUCCUUCCGUCCCCAAGCACUCACAUGCAUUUUGGCAGAUGCCAGCCUCUAGGGAAAGGGCAGCACAACACAUGAUCUGAUACAUCUUUGGCCUAAUUCUCACUGAGAUGGUGAACCUGUGCAUUGGCUGCAGUGUUUCAGACUGUGGGUGCUUCCAAACGUGGACAAUAUGGGCAGUUACCUGGCCAUUGCUGGUCAGCUUUGAGCUGCAUGUUAUCAGGUCCAUUUAAAGCAAAACUAAAAAACAAAAACCCAGAAAUAGUAACAGAAAUAAUAAUAUAUAAACUCCAUGUUAAAAAAAAAACAUUGCUUGGGUCAAAUGGGUUUAAAGCAGGGACAUAAUAAAAGGCCUGGAAAAAUGAAAAGGACUUUGCCUGGCCUCAGAAUUAUAUCAAGGUGGAUGCCAAGCAAGCUACACUAGGGAGAGAGUUUGAUUGCUGGAGUGCCACCAUGGGAGAGCAUUAAGUACUAUCACCUCCAGUUCAAUGAGCACAUGAGACUCAUAAGGGAAGCAAGCAGUUGAGUAGAUCCAGCAGAAAGGCUACAGGACAUUGGACAGCUCCAAGAGGCCCUGCUAAACUCAAGAUGUUGCUUCUACAGAGAACUAGAGCCAACUGAAGCCUUAUGAAGCUGACCAGACCUGAAGUUUGGUGGGCUCCACCAAUCUGGAAGAGCUGGUUGGCUGGUUAAAAGAGCCUGCUUUAUUUUGUAAUCUGUGAUUUUUCCAAGCCAAAAGCACUCUGAAUGAAGUUCUCUGUGUUCUCCCCUGCACGGAAGUAGCCUGAGUCCUCUGCCACAGAAGGAUUGUGGGUUGUGGGUAAUACCCCUCCUCCCUUUCCCAUCACUGUCAUAAUCUGGGUCUACCAAGCUUACCAUAUCUUUGAAUUGCAUCUUUUAAGAUGGUACAUUUCCAUGCCAUUUACUGAUGGUGUAUUCUGAAUGUGUGCCUGGUGUUAGGGUCUUAUUGACUAAUAAGCUGGGCGAUAUUGUUUUGCUUGAUAAAAUGUGUGAUUCUGUUGGCGAGAUGUGUGUUGACAGUAAAGAUAGGUGUAUAGUUCAGAAUACUGGAGCAUAUGUUGGAGUUAGUACUCAAAAAAUCCUAGCAGGACAAGUAAGUCAAUCAUAUAGAAAUGGCUUGCUCAAGCAUGCAUCUUGUUUUGUUUAGGGACAUCUUAUCCUGCUUUCCUGUGACAAGCACAGUCAGGGUGGCUUACAAUGCAAAAAAAAAAAAAGCAGGAUAAAACAAGUUAAAUUGCAGUCGCAACUAUGAAAACACAAGCAUAAUAGCAGUAGAGUAUUUGUCAAACAUCAGCUUACAUCAAGUACCCUUUGAUCAUUUAAAGUAAAGCAAGAGUAUCAUUUUUUACACCUGUAGGUCUUGAAUGGCCAAGCUGAGUAUAGGGGCUGGUAACAGAUACAGAAUCCUAGGGCACGACAAGAGCUGAAGGAGAAAAAUUGUUUGUUUACUUGACUCAUCAGACAGGGACCAGUGCUCUCCUUGCCACCUUAUCUAUGAAAUAAUAGUGUUUUCAGAAUGUCUUGAAGUUCAUGUGUUAGUUGUAGCUGAUGGAAUUACUCUCUGAGUAGAGUGUAUGAAUGUGCCUAAAUUAGUCAUAUACAUUAAUUCCAAAGGGUCUUCUCUAAGUAUGACUAACAUUAGAUGCAACCCUUUGUGUUUUAAGAGUUGCCUUUUUUGGUAAAUAAUAAUAAUGAAGGUGCAAGUUACAAAUUUUAAAAGAUGCUGGAGGGUGGAGUGGAGGGAAUGUCUAAGGUUCUGUAAGGGAGUGUGGUCUUCUGUUUCUCCUGCACUCAGAUACAACUUAGGACAAAGAAAGGCAUUAUAUGAUAACAGAUAUCAGAAUACGGGCUCAAGUAAUAGGGUGAGGACUCCUGGUUUCCUUCUGGCUGUGCAACUAAAAUGAAAGAGGUGCUUACCAGAGAACAGAAUGUAUGCUUAGCUGCCAGACCUGCUUCCACCUUCAGGCAACUUGUCUGCCGCUAAUUUUUUUUAAGUGCCACAUGAAUUAUGCAUACAAUACCAAACUUUUUACAGUUCACCUGUUUAUUCAUCCAUCCAUUUCUCCUUUUACUUCUUGGAAUCUGAUGACAUUGCAAGGCCAUUACUUCUUCUUUUGUUUAAAGGAAGCUUUUAAAAGUGCUCUAAAGAUUGGGAGGAGAUUUCUUGGUGACAACAUAGGUUUGUCAGCAAAUCAGUGCUAUGUACAGCCUCAAAAAACACACACACAAAAAAAAAACACUGAGAAGCCGUGUGUGUGUAUAGGUUUUGGCAACAAAAGCAGAAAGUUAUCCUUCUCAGACCUUAAAGAUGCAGAUGUGGGGUGACAGUUUGAUUGUCAUCUGGGGUGCCAGAUGGUGUUAAAUCCAAGUUGGCUCCACGGUAUUUUAUAUUUGAAAUGAAAAGAGCUAGAAUGGAACUUCUUCUAAUUACAGUGGAACUUCAGUUGUGGAUGUAAUCCGUGAUGGAGGCACGUCCACAACCCACAGCAUUUGCAUCCUGAAGCGCCGCGUCUGCACAGGCGCAGGUGCGAUUUGAUGCUUUUGUGCAUGCGCAAAGCGCAAUUCAGUGCUUCUGCGCAUGUGCAAGUGGCGAAACGCAUAAGUAACCCAUUCCAGUACUUCCGGGUUUCCCGCAGUCUGCAACCCGAAAAUACGUAACCUGAAGCGGCCAUAACAUGAGGUAUGACUGUAUGCCUAAAAAAUCAGGAAGUAUUUGAAAGAGAAACAGAACUACCCCUCUGAAUAUUGAUGUGUCUCUGUUAAAUGGGAAUGGCCAUCUCUGAACUCUUUGUUUCUGGCAAGCUGAGACUCAUUCUUUUAAUGCCUGUGACUUCUUUUGGUCAAUUAAAUCUUCACUUUAAAGAAAGGAGGAAUAUGAGUCCAUAUUUCUCUGAAUUCUUGGGUAAUGUUUUUUGUUGCCUAUUUUCUUCAUGUGUUCCCCCUUUUCUAUUUUUUGUUCCACGUGUUAUCACUUUAUAACUGUGUUCAAAAACAGUGUGUGUGUGAUAUCUAUGCUGCAUGUGGUUAUUGUUAACAUAGAAUAAAUUCCUCUCUUUUCUGCAAAGAGUGAAAUAAAUUGCCUUUGCUGCACAAUUUUGACCUCCUCACCUGUAUUCUGCCUACUCAACAACCUCACUCUGCAAUAACUUACAUCUUGCAUUCCAGCUUAGUCAAAACUAUUUCCAUAUAGCUUUUAUUUUUCCUUUUUUAAAUAAAAAAACACAUUUUCUUUGCUUUUCAUGUGCAAACCCAUCCUAGAGAUUGCCUUUACUCUUAAUCCUCUUUGCAUUUUCCUUCAAAUCUCUGUUAUAAAAUGGUUGAAGCCCUGACAAACAGAGAGUGCACACAAAAUAUUCCUUCAUGUGAGACAGGCAGAGAAGCAUGUUUGAAAAACAGGAAAGUGGUCCUAAGAACCUAUUCCUUUUAUACUUAGCCAACUACUAAAUCUUUUAUACUUAGCCGACUAUUAAAUCUAGCUCAGUACUGUCUACAUGUCAUCUAACCCAACCUGCAUCCUUCCAUUGUGUGCCCCAAGAUCAGAGAAACAGGUGAACAACUUGCAGCAGGGUUGGGGAAUCUGUUUCAGCCCAUGGGCCACAUUCCCUCAUGAGUGAACAUACUAGUGGUGGGUGGGGACAGAGGCAAAAAUGGAUAAUGCAAUGGAGGUGGCUCUUUAUACAGGAGACCUCAUUGCAGCCAGGAAAAGCAGAGGGUUAUAAGCACACAUCUCUCCAUCCAGGCAAGUGAAAGGCACUUUGACAGUAAAAUAAGACAUUCCUGCCAGCCAAUGACAUUUAAGGAGGCAUAGAGCAGGGUUGGUGAGGAACAUGGAUGGGAGAGAGUCCUGAGGGUUGGGCAAUGAGGCCUUGAGGACUGCAUUUGUUCCCACACCCCUUCUGUCAUCAACAAUAGGCUUCUGCUGUUUUUCAGUGGUGGUGGAUUAAAGCUUUUUAGGAGCAACAUCCAGGAAGAGAUGGACAUCCCAGAAAGCAGCGGAAUGGAAGAGACCUUUACAUUCCUCUCCUCACCACCUUUGCUUUUAAAAAUGCCACAAACAUGGCUUCUGCCCCUCCCUACCCUUUCAGCAACCCAGCGGCUGCCAUUUCAUGAAUCUUCCUUCCCUUCUUGUAUGCUGACAUUUUUUUUAAGGUUAUGUGUUCCCUCCUUGCUGUGCCUGCCCUGCCUGAAUGUUAAAAACAAAAAAAGUGAAGCCUUGUCAGAUUCAUAUUCCCACUUCCCGAGGUUGAGGAAGUGAAUUGACACUCGGUUCUCAGCAAGACAUUCCAUAUAUCAUACCCUGUGGGGACUGGAUAUCGUACUAGUGUGAGGGAUUUGUGUUUGUGUGUGUGGUAUCAAGGUGGGGCAGUGGGGGAGAGGAGAAUGUGGUGCGCUUUUCAGGAUUGUGCGGACAAGUCUGUAGUGAGUGUGUGCGAAUGCACAAUGGCAGCUUGCUCACUCUCUUGCUUUUCUCUGUAGAAAAGGUAGCAAAGCAGCAUGUUCAUUGGGUCGGCUGAGAAGGUGAUGUCAGUGACAGUCCCAGAACUGGAUAUAAUGUCUUCUUCAUGUCUGUGAGAAGACUACAUAAGUAUUUGACAGUGAAUAUGAAGAAUUGUGGGGUAUAUAUAUUUUUUAAAUCUGCAGAAUGCCAGCUCUUGUUUUGCUGAUGUAGCCUGCCAGUGACCUCGGGAGUUUUCGUUUAUAGGUCCUACAGCACAAGUUUUUAUUUUUAGGAUGGUCCUUUGGCCAUGCAUUCUUAUCUUAAGUCCUGUUUUCGCUAACUAGAACUGACAGACCAGAGCUUGCUUGCUUUUAGCAUAACCUUUUAACUUGAAUUCGGUGCUCGCUCACUCUCUCCUUAUUUUCACCCCAAGCCAUUGUGUUGGUUCAACACAGAAGGCCCAGCAACCACUGCCAUCUGGCAUGUGGUUGACAUUUGUCACGGAUGCUAGUGAUGGAUAAGGUUAUGAGCAAGAGGCCGAUUGGGUUGUUGCUUUUCUGACAGGUCCCUGUUGGGAAGGCGCUGUGGGUGGGGCUUUCAGUUCUGUAUUCCUUCCUAGCCAGGCUGCAACAGCCACUGCAGGGAAAAUGAAAGCUACUAUUGAGUGUUCCCCUGGGGAAGGGGCAUUUUUCCUAGCGUUCCAUGGUCUACAACAAUAUUUAGAGAGUUUGAGCUGGCAAUAAAUAGGAAUGGUCUUGUGUAUCUUUUUACAAACCAAACAUUACACAGAGCCUGAGUGUCUAAACUACAAAUUAUAAGCCAAGGUCAUUUUAGAACCAGCAUGGUAUCUCAAAAAUUGUAUUGGUACAAACUUUCAGACUUGUGGAUGUUUACAAUGUCUUCCAUUGAUGUAACUGUAAAUUUCAAAGAGAACCUUUAUUUUGUUACUCUGCUGUCUUCUGUAACAUCCUUUUGAUGUUUCUUAACCUUUUGUUGCUGUUCUCCAUUUUGUUGAGUGUGCUUGAAAUCUCUGCAUUUCUGCAUUUCCUCGUUUAAACAAUAUAUUAAUUGCAUUUUUUUGCUCUACCUCUUUGCAUUUAUUGUUUAAUGAACUGAUUCUCUUUAGUGGGCUCUCCAUACCUCAUUUCUUUAUUUCUUCUCUGGCUAUGUGUGUAUGUAUGCAACAGUAGCUUCAGAGAACACAACAAGUGCUCAGAAUCCCACGCUCUGGCUUGAAAGAUCAGGACUCUGCCACACCAAAUAUAAAAUAUUUGCCAACUCUACUUCUUGCACUGGGCUUCUUAAAGCCAAUAUCCUAUAUCAAAAGGCAAAAGAUCAGUGACCAAAAUUCCUAGUUAUAGUAGUUCAGGUUGAAAGUGUACCUUGGUCAGCAUGCAGGGCAGAAUGUCUCUGGCAAACUAAGAAGAUAUCAGGGUGGGGUGAAAGACAAUAGAGCAGGCUAAGAAUUAGGAAAGAUCUGUGUUUGUGGACAGUAUUUGCCUGGGCUUGUCCUUGUGAAAGCUGAUGGAACUGUUUUAUGGUCAGAGCAAGCAGUUAACAGUGCAAGCCUGUACAUGUCUACUCAGAAGUAAGCCCCAUUCGGCUCAAUUGGAUUUACUCCUAGAUAAGUGGGUGUACUAGGAUUGCAGCCGAAAUCUGUGUGUUCUUUAAUUGCCUUCAUAACCUCAGAGGUUUUUUUAAGCAUCAGGAAGCUGAUGUCAGGUUGUUACAGAUGUUUUGCAGUCCUUAACGUUGCUAGGAAGAAGUCUGGUGUUUGAGACUUUCUAGGGCAUCGGUUUGCCUGGACCUACCAGCCAGUGACAGAUACUUUAUUGAUCCUGGGAUUUUAUAUUCUUCAGCCAUUUUAUGCCACAGGAAAUUUUACCAC